rnacentral:tRNA from 1 species
GCCCGGCUAGCUCAGUCGGUAGAGCGUGUGACUCUUAUUCUUUCUGGGAUAAAUCUCAAAGUCGUGGGUUCGAGCCCCACGUCGGGCU